ensembl:lncRNA
GGAUUAUGGGCUUGGUCUCAAUUUGCAUGGUGCUGGCAGUAGGAUCUAUUGUAAUUUACAAAAGAAAUUCCCUUUUGAAACCUUGAAGUUCAUUGGCAUCCCUGACCUAUUUUGCAAAAAAAAAAAAAAAAAAAAAAAUCACAGUCCUUACUGCUUUACUGCCUUUGUGCAACUAUAAUGUGGUUAUUUGUUCCUAGAUCAUUGACAGGCUCUUCAAUGUAAUGAAUAGUCGCAAUCCCCGUGCCAGAGGACACAAAGCUCCCCUGGGAAAGCUCAGUUGGUGGGAGAAAGCUGUAUUUUUGAAGAAAGCCAGGAAGUACCUGAUUACUUUGGUGAUGAAAGAUGACAAACCCCUUCAUCAGUCAAAGAUUUACAGCUGUCAAAGUGAUGCGGUAUGUAUGUCAACAUGAUGCUGUAAUGUGUUAACUGUCAGUUGUUUUCUUUGUUGAAGUUUUCUUGGUUUCAGUUUUUUUCAGGUUCUACAGCAGUCAAAAUGUAAUGUAUAACCGCUUGAUGCUCUCUUGCUCCAAUAUUUUUGUCUGCUGAUUUGUUUGUAUUUGAAAUUUUUUGUAAUAACUUUCCCGAUGAUAUAGUACAGGCAUCAAAAUGGUUUGUAUUGCAUGUUUUUUUGCAACUUCUGCAUAUUUUGUUCUGAAGUGUUCCCAAGUUUGCAUUCCUGUAAAAGCACCCAGUAAGAUCCUCACGGUGGACAUGAGACACCUGAGAUGAAGACAGACGUCACAGUAUCUGCAUCAACAGCAGAGGUUCAUUUUAAAGUGUCCCUGGAUAGAUUUCCUAUUUCAUAUAGUUUUCCAAGCACUGAAAGACAGAAAGGCCUGUAGUCACUUUAGCUUUAAGGGAGAGGAUUUUAUUAUCCAGCUUAUCUGUGCUGUAAUUUAAAUGUAAUAACUGUAGUGUUCAUCAUUACUUUGGUCAUAUUGUGGGAGGUUAUUUUUCUAAUCUGCACUAAGAUGUACUACAACAUGUGAAUCAGUCAUUAAACAACGUUAAUGACUAGAGAGCAGAUUUACUGUUUUCUCCAGUUUAACUUCAAAGACUCAGCAGAUAUUCAGGACUACUGACAACACAGAACCUUAACCUCACUGUUUUAAUCACAUUUAGGUUUUCUAAACGUUACCAUUAAUGUGAACCAGCGUCUCCAUGAACAGUUUUAUUAACUAAAUGCACCACAUUACAGUAACACAACACACUUCAGCUGUUUACAUGAAACUCAACACAAA